GAAGCUGGCUCAAGUUUUUGGAGCAUGUCCACACUAUGUUCUCAUUCACCGAUGCAGAAAACUUGUUGAGUCUUAUCCCAUAUUUUAUAUGACUACCUGUGUACAGAUUUUUACUCUCCUUUUACCCACAGGCUGCUCACAGAAACCAGCGUUUACUUUGUUUUCUAGAGCGCAGCAAGCUCCGACGCACAAGCGUCACUUCUCACAGCGAGGGGUGCUUUGGAGGUACCAUCUGCACUGUGCUACCAGCACCUUGAGUUUUACUGCUGUCUUUCAGAAUAAGAAACAGAAACAUGAGGUGAUGCCACUUGGCCAAGGCUACAGAGGAAGGAGGUGGCAACAGAAUUGUACCCUGACGUUUCCCAGAGGUGAAGCCUGAGGAGAGUUUUCAUAAGCUCCUUGAAAGUCUUCAGCUUGGCCCUUGGAGUUCAUCUGACCAAAGCUGGUGGCUGCUGCUCGACUGCCCAGCCCCGGGGUCUCUGGGCUGUAGGAUGGGAGGCCAGAUGCCCCUCGGUCCUUGGCUCCUGCCUGGCUGUUCCUGGGGAAGGUGGGUUUCUUCAUGGUGACCUGCACAGCUGGCCUGUGGGCAGCACCUGAAAAGCUCUCCAGCUCUUUUGCUCCUGGAAGCAGAAUUGUCCCCAAGUCAGGUGGCCUUCAGUACAAGCCAGGCAGGUCAGGUGUUACAAUAAACAACAUACAGACACAGCCCAUGUGUUGGACCACGCUGGAAUCCCUGAAGGGAUGAAGCUCAGGGAUGAAAUUCCUCUGUGAGAAGGAACAUCAUCUCCACAUUGACCCAGGUAGAAGAGGGAUGAAAAGGAGAAACACAGAACAACUAACAUCCAACUUUGAAAGAACGCGGCGCGUUCUGAUCUCUGCUGGCCACAGACCUCACCUGCUGCCCGUGCUCCUCCCCCAGGGAGAAGGAACUUCUGCGAACAGCACUGUAGGAACUGCAGCUCUGACAGCAUCCAACACAGCACGGGAUGUAAUUACCAAAAUGGAAAAAGAGAUUUUUCUGUCCCAAACCCUCAUGAUUUUACUUAUCUGACUUUAAUUGUUUUGAAUAGGAACAAAGAGAAAUUAAAUCCUUAGGUGGGAACGUCUUCCAAUAGGAUUUCUCUAGACUGACAGCCAUAGCCAAGUUGCACUCAGAAGCAGAUAGGAAUCUGGGGUGGCUUUUGCAGAGCCUGUAUAAUACUUUUCUCUGAAGUGAAAUACAUGUAAUAUAAUAUUUUUAUCUGUGAAAAGCAGCAUGUGCCUACUGGAGCUUCUGACAUCUCCUGUCACACAGGUGAUUACUGACUGGUGGUCUGAUGCUUCUGCCAUGUAAACCUGAUGUCAUCAAAGCUGGUGGACCCAGAGAUGAACCAAAGCUCCUGAGCCUGCCUGCCCUCUUGUCCCACUGCACCUGAGGCCCCUGAGCUGCCCAUGCUGUUGUGACCAGUGCAGAGGCUGCAGGGAAAACACGGCCUGCCAGUGAGACAUGUUUAGGAGGAGGCUGUGGAGCCCAGCUCUGUGGGUGCUCUGCUGCACAACCAAACCCACAUUGCAGAGUCUUCCUGGGUAUCUUCCAGGAUCUGAGCUCCACUGAGUGUUUGUCUUGGGUCUGUUCUGUUCAGGUCCUUCCCUGCACGUUCAGAGGCAAGCCUCUUCCCCAAAAUCCACACUGUUUGGCAUUCAUCCUGCAGCCAAAGAGAGCUCCUUCAGCAGUGGGAUCUGCCCAAGAGGCAAUGG